AACGAAAACAUGUUGUCUAUCAGGAAGAUUAAUCUUUACGACAGAAGAUGAGAAGGGAUUGCCACUUUGAGACGGAUCUGCCAGGAAUGUGGCAAAAUGGGCAUGCCACUUUUAAAAGAAGUUCUGGAUUUUUUCCAGGGGAAAAACGCAGCAAGAGUAUUACCGAAAGCAUUUCACCUGGAAAUGAGGAUUAGAUUCAACCGGGAAGAAACACCUAAAAUAGGAUAAUAAAAAUCAAGAGAGGGGUAUUUUAUCUACACCAGACAAGAACAAGCACGCUUUAAAAAAAGUUGGUACAUCAUCUGCGUACUCCUGCCAUCUAUCAAAGGU